UUUCCAAGAUCACUCUGGCCCACCACACA
rnacentral:piRNA from 1 species